rnacentral:lncRNA from 1 species
UCCAAUUCGAGGAAUUACCCUAAUUUCUUAGUGGGUACUAGAAUCCACUUAGACUGCACACAAGUCCAACUUUGGUUGGCCAACCCAUGUACAUCUAAGGGUAGGUUCAUAACCAAUUAUUUCUCUAAAUAAUUUUUAGUAAUUUUAAUUUUGCCCCAGAAACCUAAUCAGUAGGCUUUGGCCUUCACUGUAAGGAUCCAGUUAGGUCCAACCAUUAACAUGAUCAUACUUGGUGUAUCUAACCAACAAAUGAUUAAGCUCAACUUUGGUUGGCUCACCUAACCACCAUUAGAGAGACACUUCCAAGUUGUCAUAUGAUGAGUGAUAAUUUCAUUAGUCAACAAGCACCAGACCUUUGGGUCUGCAAUGAUUAUUGAGUUAAUGGACUCAUUAUC